rnacentral:rRNA from 1 species
UAAUGUCUGGGAAACGUGCCUGAUGGAGGGGGGUAACUACUGGAAACGGUAGCUAAUACCGCAUAAUGUCGCAAGACCAAAGUGGGGGACCUUCGGGCCUCAUGCCAUCAGAUGUGCCCAGAUGGGAUUAGCUAGUAGGUGGGGUAACGGCUCACCUAGGCGACGAUCCCUAGCUGGUCUGAGAGGAUGACCAGCCACACUGGAACUGAGACACGGUCCAG